AUUGCUUCAGUCUUUCAAGUGUGAACAACCAUUUUUGCGGCCUUUUUUGUCCUCCUGCAUCUGCAAUGGCUCCAUCACGCAGACGUUCUGGAACCUUUCCUAAGAGUGGUUUGGUUCCUAAGAGACAAUAUCGCCAAUUCCAGCUCUCCUCACUUGCUACUGAGAUUGCUCGAUUUAUCAAACAUCUCUCUAGCCCAACUGUUCCAGAGAAUCCCUGUCUGUCUCCUCGCAUCCUGCAGAGCACUUCUACGCGUGACAUGGGCACACAGACCUCACCUGACCUGCUUUCCUGAAACAAUACCACAGUUUUCUCCUUAUCCCUCAUGCUGGUCUCCCACUGAUUAUUCUCCUACUUCUCCGGUCGCUUUGCCCGGUUACCAUGCUCCUAUGCCCUCGCCUGACUCUGAGCCAAAAUACUCCCUUGCGUCUUCUGCAGCUGCAGAAAAACAUAAUUUCUUUUAUCCCAAUCAACAUGCUUAACUCCCUUCAA